AAUUAUAAUAUUUUUGUAAUAUUAUUUAUUAUCAAGUUGAAAUUAAAUAUUUUUAAAAACAAAAAAAAUUAAUCACAGACCACCAGCGAGCCUUUCUAACUUCUCUAUUCAUCCAAAUCCAAAACCUCUCUUUCUCCCUCUCUCUUUGCCUUCUCCCUUCUCUCUCUUCACCUCGACCAAACCACGCAUCCAAACUCUCUGUUUUCCCUGCUUUCAAACUCUGUCUUCCCACUAUUUCUCGUCCCCUCUCACUACUGGCUUCCUCACCAGAAGACGAUACGAUAGAGUGCCCUUGACUGGAACUGUCGAGAUCUGUGUCAACAGAAGAGACACCCCGAAAUCGAAUCCAAGAAACAAACGCCUGCC
rnacentral:lncRNA from 1 species